rnacentral:rRNA from 1 species
GACAGAGGGUGCAAACGUUGUUCGGAUUUACUGGGCGUAAAGGGCGCGUAGGCGGCGCGGUAAGUCACUUGUGAAAUCUCUGAGCUUAACUCAGAACGGCCAAGUGAUACUGCAGUGCUAGAGUGCAGAAGGGGCAAUCGGAAUUCUUGGUGUAGCGGUGAAAUGCGUAGAUAUCAAGAGGAACACCUGAGGUGAAGACGGGUUGCUGGGCUGACACUGACGCUGAGGCGCGAAAGCCAGGGGAGCAAACGGG